GUGUCAGCCGCCGCGGUAAUACGUAGGGGGCAAGCGUUGUCCGGAAUUAUUGGGCGUAAAGGGCACGCAGGCGGUUUCUUAAGUCUGAUGUGAAAUCUUGCGGCUCAACCGUAAGCUGCCAUUGGAAACUGGGGAACUUGAGUACAGAAGAGGAGAGUGGAAUUCCACGUGUAGCGGUGAAAUGCGUAGAGAUGUGGAGGAACACCAGUGGCGAAGGCGACUCUCUGGUCUGUAACUGAUGCUGAGGUGCGAAAGCGUGGGUAGCAAACAGGAUUAGAUACCCCCGUAGUCC
rnacentral:rRNA from 1 species